CGGCAACUCCUGCUCUUUUCUUUUCUUUUCUUUUCUCUCUAUUCUCUCCUCUGCUUUUUGUGGACGUGUCCUGUUUUCUUGGACAGGUGCCUAUUUUACAGGCGUGGAUUUCCGGCAAGACGCAGUACUCCCGGCGACUCUCGUUCAGACUCGCGGCAGGACGCAAUAGAACUACACGUUCUGCUAAGCUUCAGGAAAACUUGGGCGCAUCGAAGCAGACUUUCAG
rnacentral:lncRNA from 1 species